rnacentral:rRNA from 1 species
ACGUAUGUGGCGAGCGUUGUUCGGAAUCACUGGGCAUAAAGAGUUCGUAGGCGGAUGUAUCAGUUGGGUGUGAAAUCCCGGGGCCUACCCCCGGAACUGCACUCAAUACUGUAUAUCUGGAGUCCUUCAGGGGUAAGUGGAAUUCCAUGUGUAGCGGUGAAAUGCGUAGAUAUAUGGGAGAACGCCAAUGGCGAAGGCAGCUUACUGGGGAGUGACUGACGCUGAGGAACGAAAGUUAGGGUAUCGAACGGG